rnacentral:rRNA from 1 species
UACGUAGGGUGCAAGCGUUAAUCGGAAUUAGCUGGGCGUAAGCGUGCGCAGGCGGUUUUGUAAGUCUGUCGUGAAAUCCCGGGCUCACCUGGGAAUUGCGAUGGAGACUGCAAGGCUAGAAUCGUGGCAGAGGGGGGUAGAAUUCCACGUGAUAGCAGUGAAAUGCGUGAGAGAUGUGGAGGAACACCGAUGGCGAAGGCACUCUACUGGGCCAUUAACUGACACUGGAGAAGACGAAAGCUAGGGGAGCGAAUGGG